CACAUACCAGCGACAGUUUAGAUAAGAUAAAUAAAUUCAGAGUUUUCACUUUUAUUUACCUAAAAUGGCAGUGUUGCCUCUAGCCAGUCUCAACUCCAAGCUUUCACUUCUUUCAGGAAAGCAACAGCAAUCCAAAUUUGCUGGCCAAUCAGUGAGAGCAAUACCUAUACGCAUAUUAACUGUGGGAAAGAAGCGGUCACAAGGAGUGCAGCUAAUAGUUGAUGAAUAUAUGAAGAAGCUUAAGCAGUAUUGUAGUGUUGAUGAUGUACGGAUUAAGUCUAAUCCUAAAAAUGCACGUGAUGUAGUGGCUCAAAUUGAACAUGAGGACAUUGCUGUUAUGGGCCUCAUCAAGCCUGAUGAUUGGGUUGUGAUGUUGGAUGAGCGUGGUCAUGAUGUGGAAUCUGAGCAGAUGGCUUCUUUAAUUGGGGAUGCAGGAAACAAGGGAGCAUCAAGCUUACUCUUUUGCAUAGGUGGACCUUAUGGACAUGGGAGACAAUUGCGAGAGAGAGCUAACAUAUCAAUCAAAUUAUCAUCUUUAAUCUUAAAUCAUGAGAUUGCCUUAGUUGUAUUGAUAGAGCAACUUUACAGAGCGUGGACCAUUCUUAAAGGACAGAAAUACCAUCACUAGACAAUGAUGUCUUAUCUAUGAUAAAGCAAUACUGGUACAGGGUCUCUAUUUCUUGGAAUUGGAAGAAGGAACUGAAAUGACUUCCAAAUUUCAUUCAACCACCAUCAGAGCAACUAAAGUCGGGUUUGGAGUACUUUUUGAGGAUGACCUUGAUCCCCAUUUAUAGAUAUCAGACGUGCCUAACCGCCCGCCUAAAGAGGAGGAGGUGGUUUCGACUCUGAGAUCUUAAGAAAUGUUGAUGCUUGACUUUGUUUACGGCACGGUCUAUGAAAUGGAAUGGCACUUCUAUUGUGUUGACGAGCCCGGCCCCAACAUAUUUUAGCCACUACAAUGAUUCAUUAUGCCAUCUUCACUAUUUUUAAUGAAGCCUUAGCUGAUCUUGACCAAGAAACCACUGGUUUCGCUUGGUGCGCCGGGAAUGCCCCGACUUAUCAAUUUAUCCCGCAUGGUUUAAACUCCCAACAUGACCAUCCAGGUUAAAUGGAUUCCACCAGAUAGGGGACAUUACAAACUAAACACAAAUGGGGCAUGUAAGGAAACCCGGGAUCUGGUGGAUUCGGAAGGGUGAUUAGGAAUAGCAAUGGUGACUGGAUAGUGGGAUUCACCAAGAGCUUACCCCUUGUUACAAACACAUACACUGAAAUUGCAGCAAUACUGUAAGGCCUCCCCAUUGAAGUGCAGCAGAACUUGAAACCAAUUGUAGUGGAAAGUGAUUCAGUUGAGGCAAUUCACAUGAUCAACAAUGGUCAUGAAAUUUACAGUGCUCUAAUUCAUGAAUGCAGAUUUAUGAUGAUGAAGCUAGGGAACCCCUUGAUCAGGCAUGUGUACAAGGAGCAGAACCAAGUGGCGGAUGCUCUAGCUAAAGCAGGGGCAAAGAAUCGGAAAGAAUCAGACUUUUGGUGCGACAAUGCAGAUGAUAGUUCCUCCGGUGUAUGCGAAUAGAAGUUUUUGGGCAGACAUGGAAGGAAUUACUUUUACAAGAAUUAUCAUUGUUUGUAACAUUGAUACUUUGGGUACUUUUGAUGAUGAUCGGAGGAACUCUCCGGCAAACAAUUUAGCUGCUAUAGCAGUGGUUUAAU